rnacentral:lncRNA from 1 species
AGCAGUAGCAAACCAUGGGAAUUGAGAGUGAGUUUUGUGCUUAGAUCACAGGCUUAAUAAUGCACAGAGAGGAUGUGGAGAGAGAAGAAAUGUAUCAUGAACCCCAGAGACGGAGUGGAGAAGAAUAAGGAGUAGAUUAAUGACAACUCUAGGACAGCUGUAUUGGAUGAAGACUUUUAAGAGCAAAGUGUUGCAAAAGUCUCGGUGAGUGAAAACUGAGAGGAACCUGGCUGGAAAACAUGGCUGGAGGACACAACUAGUGGACAAACAUGAUGCAGUGUAUCCUUAAACUUGGGAGGCACCAUAACUGUAUCUGACUGAGCGAAGAAGUCCCUCGGUUUCAGGUGCUGCCAGCCUGUGCAAGAAGUCCUCUAUGUGCUUCUGCAGUGCGGUACUACUUUUGCUAGAGCAAGAAUGCAGCACAUGGUGACCUCUUCUGCAAAGGAGAUGGACCAGAGAAAACAGACUGAAGGCUCAUUGCACUAGUUACGUAAUUGCUACAUGUAUUACUACUCUGUGGACAGGAAGCCAUCAGAAUAGUAUGUCUGUGAAGCUUAUGAUGCUGCAGUCC